rnacentral:rRNA from 1 species
GACGAACGCUGGCGGCGUGCCUAAUACAUGCAAGUAGAACGCUGAGGUUUGGUGUUUACACUAGACUGAUGAGUUGCGAACGGGUGAGUAACGCGUAGGUAACCUGCCUCAUAGCGGGGGAUAACUAUUGGAAACGAUAGCUAAUACCGCAUAAGAGUAAUUAACACAUGUUAGUUAUUUAAAAGGAGCAAUUGCUUCACUGUGAGAUGGACCUGCGUUGUAUUAGCUAGUUGGUGAGGUAAAGGCUCACCAAGGCGACGAUACAUAGCCGACCUGAGAGGGUGAUCGGCCACACUGGGACUGAGACACGGCCCAGACUCCUACGGGAGGCAGCAGUAGGGAAUCUUCGGCAAUGGACGGAAGUCUGACCGAGCAACGCCGCGUGAGUGAAGAAGGUUUUCGGAUCGUAAAGCUCUGUUGUUAGAGAAGAACGUUGGUAGGAGUGGAAAAUCUACCAAGUGACGGUAACUAACCAGAAAGGGACGGCUAACUACGUGCCAGCAGCCGCGGUAAUACGUAGGUCCCGAGCGUUGUCCGGAUUUAUUGGGCGUAAAGCGAGCGCAGGCGGUUCUAUAAGUCUGAAGUUAAAGGCAGUGGCUUAACCAUUGUACGCUUUGGAAACUGGAGGACUUGAGUGCAGAAGGGGAGAGUGGAAUUCCAUGUGUAGCGGUGAAAUGCGUAGAUAUAUGGAGGAACACCGGUGGCGAAAGCGGCUCUCUGGUCUGUAACUGACGCUGAGGCUCGGAAGCGUGGGGAGCAAACAGG